ACUGUAAGAGUUAAAUAUCUGAAACUGAAAUUCAAGAUUCUUAUACGACCAUGAACUUUACCAAGAUGGACCAUGAAUUUGGACCCCUGCUCUUUCAGUGUCCAGGAUGAACAUGGGCAAAUAUUGAUUUUUUUUCCUCAUAAUUUUUGGGAGUAUUCGUCUAGAUUUCUGCUAAAGCAGUAGCAGCAUUUCCCUGACAAUUGACCUACUCUCCAUGCCAGUUUUUGAAGUCCUGCUUUGAAUCUUUGAGGUGCUACUGCUGUUCAGAAAAGGGGCCCAAACAGAUUUUCCUGAUCAUGGUCUUCGGCUUCAAUAGCUGUGUGAUAAAUUGUAGGGUUGAUACAGCCCUUUGCACCAUCUUAAAUUACUGUGCGGGUUUGACUUCCUCCCAAAGUGCCUGGUAGCAUCAAGUAGCCACCUCGUUACAGGGGAUCACGGCUCUACUCCAACCUUAUUUCAGCUCUCGAGUGAAGUACUGGGUCAUUUAGUGGCGCUGUGAUUUCCAGCCUGUGCACUGUGGGCGGAGCUGGGGCAGAUGCCUCCACCGCUUAGCAAAGCAGCACACCAUGACCCCUUCGCAGGAAGGAGGCAUCGAUUGUCUGUGUUCAUCUCUGUCACGUCCUUUCAGCUCUGGAGACAAGCAGCAUAUUGGUAUUCAGUGGCUGCAAAGUGUUCCCAGGAGGCGAGAGUCAGCAGCUGCCUAAGGGAGCAGCACUUUGGAGCAUCCUGUCCCCAGUACAAUCAAUCCAAAAGGAUCCUGUGGCCUGGAGAGCAAAAGGUCUGAGGUGAUUUCUCCCUUAGGGCAGGCAGCAGCCCCUCCGUCAGCA